UGGCUCAGUUGGUAGAGCAUGGUGUUUGCAACGCCAGCAUGGUGUGUGCAACGCAAGGGUUGUGGGUUUGAUUCCCAC
rfam:Salmo salar isolate Sally breed double haploid chromosome ssa23, whole genome shotgun sequence.